UAAGGGGAGGAUUUUGAGGUGA
rnacentral:siRNA from 1 species